GUUAGGAAUAUUCGUCAAUGGGGGAAACCCUGAACGAGCGAUGCCGCGUGAAUGAUGACAGCCCUUCGGGUUGUAAAAUUCUGUUGUUUGGAAAGAACAGAGAGAUUAGGAAAUGAGUCUCUUUUGACGGUACCAUUCAAGAAAGCUCCGGCUAACUACGUGCCAGCAGCCGCGGUAAUACGUAGGGAGCGAGCGUUAUCCGGAUUUAUUGGGCGUAAAGCGUGCGCAGCUGGCUUAUUAAGUAUGAAAUUAAAGCCCGGGGCUUCACUACGGGUCGUUGCAUAAACUGGUAGGCGUGAGUGUGGUAGAGGUAAGUUGAAUUUCUAGUGUGGCGGUAAAAUGCGUAGAUAUUAGAAGGUACAUCAGUGUCGAAGGCGACUUACUUCGCCAUCACUGACAGUCAUGCACGAAAGCGUGGGGAGCGAAUAGGAUUAGAUACCCUGGUAGUCC
rnacentral:rRNA from 1 species